GGGCCCCCUCUCAUGGCUCUGUGCACCUGUGUCUGUCAUUGUCGUCCUCUCCCCUCCCCCCGCCCCGCUCGCCCAAUGUGUCCUGAUAUUUCACUCUUGCGAUCUGGUCACCCUACCUGUGGCUGAAGUAGGAACACAUUCAGAGCUGAUGGAGAAAAGGGGGUUAUAUUAUUCACUUGCAGCAGCACAGUCUAUUAAAACAGAAGACCAUGAAGAAUCAACAGAAACUAUUACCUUAAAAGAUCAUGAAGAAGCGUUCCCCAUCAAUGGGUUGAUUUCGAACAGAGCAAGCAUAAAACAUGUUCCACAAAAAGAGGCUGAAGAAGAAGCUGCACCUGAAGAGGUAAUGGUUUACUGGUGCUUAGUCGAGAUUUUUUUGGUUUGGUUGUUUGGUUUGUGGGUCUUUGUUUUCAUCCUAAAAAGAUUCAGCCGUUCAGUGGUAAACCUGCACAAUUCUUCCAGAGAGAUCAGAACAUUUCUGAAAGGGGGUGUAUAUCAAAGAUUAUUUCAGUGGGAGUCAAGAGGACUGUCCUCUUCCUAAAAUUGUAUCAACUUUCAGCAAAUCACUUCACUUCUGAGUGUG
rnacentral:lncRNA from 1 species